CUGGCUCAGAUUGAACGCUGGCGGCAGGCCUAACACAUGCAAGUCGAGCGGAAACGAGUUAUCUGAACCUUCGGGGGACGAUAGCGGCGUCGAGCGGCGGACGGGUGAGUAAUGCCUAGGAAAUUGCCCUGAUGUGGGGGAUAACCAUUGGAAACGAUGGCUAAUACCGCAUGAUGCCUACGGGCCAAAGAGGGGGACCUUAGGGCCUCUCGCGUCAGGAUAUGCCUAGGUGGGAUUAGCUAGUUGGUGAGGUAAGGGCUCACCAAGGCGACGAUCCCUAGCUGGUCUGAGAGGAUGAUCAGCCACACUGGAACUGAGACACGGUCCAGACUCCUACGGGAGGCAGCAGUGGGGAAUAUUGCACAAUGGGCGCAAGCCUGAUGCAGCCAUGCCGCGUGUGUGAAGAAGGCCUUCGGGUUGUAAAGCACUUUCAGUCGUGAGGAAGGUAGUGUAGUUAAUAGCUGCAUUAUUUGACGUUAGCGACAGAAGAAGCACCGGCUAACUCCGUGCCAGCAGCCGCGGUAAUACGGAGGGUGCGAGCGUUAAUCGGAAUUACUGGGCGUAAAGCGCAUGCAGGUGGUUUGUUAAGUCAGAUGUGAAAGCCCGGGGCUCAACCUCGGAAUUGCAUUUGAAACUGGCAGACUAGAGUACUGUAGAGGGGGGUAGAAUUUCAGGUGUAGCGGUGAAAUGCGUAGAGAUCUGAAGGAAUACCGGUGGCGAAGGCGGCCCCCUGGACAGAUACUGACACUCAGAUGCGAAAGCGUGGGGAGCAAACAGGAUUAGAUACCCUGGUAGUCCACGCCGUAAACGAUGUCUACUUGGAGGUUGUGGCCUUGAGCCGUGGCUUUCGGAGCUAACGCGUUAAGUAGACCGCCUGGGGAGUACGGUCGCAAGAUUAAAACUCAAAUGAAUUGACGGGGGCCCGCACAAGCGGUGGAGCAUGUGGUUUAAUUCGAUGCAACGCGAAGAACCUUACCUACUCUUGACAUCCAGAGAACUUUCCAGAGAUGGAUUGGUGCCUUCGGGAACUCUGAGACAGGUGCUGCAUGGCUGUCGUCAGCUCGUGUUGUGAAAUGUUGGGUUAAGUCCCGCAACGAGCGCAACCCUUAUCCUUGUUUGCCAGCGAGUAAUGUCGGGAACUCCAGGGAGACUGCCGGUGAUAAACCGGAGGAAGGUGGGGACGACGUCAAGUCAUCAUGGCCCUUACGAGUAGGGCUACACACGUGCUACAAUGGCGCAUACAGAGGGCGGCCAACUUGCGAAAGUGAGCGAAUCCCAAAAAGUGCGUC
rnacentral:rRNA from 1 species